GAUUUUACCUGGCCACAUCAAGCAGCUCCUGUGCUCUUCAUUUAUGACUUCUAAUGCUCCCCUGUGUUCUUGCUGAACUUUCUACUUCUAAUUUUCUGUGGAACAGGAAACCACAGGGCUAUGCAUAUUACAAAAAUAUAUACUGUGGAUAAUUGCCACUAAGACUGGGGGCUAAAAGAAGAAGAGUGUGGCUUGGUGAAGUGUCUUUCUGUAAACUGUUUCAGAAUAGAGUGAUCUGUGAUAUCUUCCCACUAAUCCCAAGUCAGGAGAGAGAGAGAAUGAAGAUCCAUUGCUGUAGAGGAACAAACUGAACGUGUUGAAGGUCCCGCAAGGCCAAUGUGGCUGGAAUGCAGACACAAAGCCAGGAGGAACAAGAGAUGGGGCUGACAAGAGAGGCAGGAGUCAGAUCUCAUGGGAACUGUCACCUGCAGUGUUGCAGACCUCUUUGAAUACACCAUGAGCACUGUGGAUUCUCGCCUCUGGAGAAUAAAAAUCACAUACAGAAAAGUUCAGACAACUUUAAGGAGUUUGAAGAAUCCCUGCUAGUCGUGGACCCAUCUGGGGUUGGUGGAUUCCUCACCAUGACUCUUUGGAUUCAGAAGUCAUAUAAGAUGCAGUUUAACAAAUAUUGGAAGUCAAAUGAGCAUUCUGCGGAAAAACAGCUUCUUCCAUACAUCAUCUUCUGGAAUAUCCCAGAUCUGGAAGAGGUCACAGGAAUGUCCAUUCAUAGGGAGCUCUACCUGGAGCUCAGAGAUGAUUGAGAGAGGGUAUUCAUCAUGGAUGUGUCCAAGUGAAGGUAGUUUGGAAAGAAACAAAGUUACCCUUUUUUCUCACUAAACAUCUUAGGGUCCCCAUUAGCAGGAAGGAAGGAAGAGGACAGGUGAGCUCCCUGGUAUUGAUGUAUUUACAGAGAACCUAGGCAUCAGCCAUACAUACAGAGGACACUCAUUUGGCCAGAAUUUGGGCUUUGACUUUAAUUAAAUUCCCUUGCUCCCAAUAAGACCUCUCUUAAUCUGAAAACAAUUUGUCAUAAGUGAUGUACCUGCCAAGACCUCAUGGCAAAGAGGCAGGGGGUACCUAGUAAAUGUUGCUGACAAACUCCAGCAUGACUCUAAAGGGACAGUGGCUUCCUUUGGAUGGUCAUGUGCUGCUGCUGGACAUAGCAAUCAGAAGGACAGUGGUGAACACCCAGGAGUGAACCAAGAUGCAAAGUUCAAGUCCGAGGGAAGAAGGGUGCAGUGCGGAAGAAGGGAAGGCAGAUGCUGCAGCCCUGCCUACAAGCAAGGAGGGAGCCAUUAAGAGCCCCAAGCUGGCCAGGCGCAGUGGCUUGCGCCUGUAUUCCUAAUCCCGGCACUUUGGGAAGCCAAGGUGGACGGAUCACCUGAGGUCAGGAGUUUGAGACCAGCUUGACCAACAUGGAGAAACUCUGUCUCUACUAAAAAUACAAAAUUAGCCAGGAGGCUGAGGCAGAAGAAUUGCUAGAAUCCGGGAGGUAGAGGUUGCAGUGAGCCGAGAUCGUGCCAUUGCACUCUAGCCUGGGCAACAAGAGCGAAACUCCAUCUCAAAAAAACAAAAAAGCCCCAAGCCUACUUUAUCAGACAGAGGAAUCAAGUUGUAUUUCCUUCUCACCAAGAGACGCUGGAAAGCUGUAAUCUUACACCAGUGGAGAAAGUGAGAGGAAAAUAAACCCUUUCUAAGGAUGAAUCCUGAAAGCCUUUCACAGACAAUGCUGCUUCUAUAAGAAUGACCUGUGAUGGCUAAGCCAUCACAGUCUUCAUUCCAAUUGACAUUCUAGGUAAACCUGCGCACAACUUUUUCUGUGUAUUUUCCAAAAAAGGAUCAUUUUAUAAAGGCUCAAGUUAUUUACAAA
rnacentral:lncRNA from 1 species